GACGAACGCUGGCGGCGUGCUUAACACAUGCAAGUCGAACGGAAAGGCCCUGCUUUUGUGGGGUGCUCGAGUGGCGAACGGGUGAGUAACACGUGAGUAACCUGCCCUUGACUUUGGGAUAACUUCAGGAAACUGGGGCUAAUACCGGAUAGGAGCUCCUGCUGCAUGGUGGGGGUUGGAAAGUUUCGGCGGUUGGGGAUGGACUCGCGGCUUAUCAGCUUGUUGGUGGGGUAGUGGCUUACCAAGGCUUUGACGGGUAGCCGGCCUGAGAGGGUGACCGGCCACAUUAGGACUGAGAUACGGCCCAGACUCCUACGGGAGGCAGCAGUGGGGAAUAUUGUACAAUGGGCGGAAGCCUGAUGCAGCAACGCCGCGUGCGGGAUGACGGCCUUCGGGUUGUAAACCGCUUUCGCCUGUGACGAAGCGUGAGUGACGGUAAUGGGUAAAGAAGCACCGGCUAACUACGUG
rnacentral:rRNA from 1 species